AUGAAAAUUAUUAUAUUUCAAUAACUCCGAUAUUUCUCUGACAUUAAUAUCCAGAAAUAUUAAAAAAUAACUAUUUCAGAUAUUUAAAUUUAUGCAUCCGAAUAAUUUCUUGGCGUGUAAUGAUCCAAUGCAUAAAAUUUAAUAACCGAGAAAUUAUAUAUUAUUUUGUUCAAACAAACGCUUUGUGCGUUUGAGUCCCAACUAAACGGGUAUGAGCACAUGCUAGAUUCUUCAGUUGCUAAAUGCCUUUCAACUUGACUGCAUGCAGAUUCCAUUCUCUUUAAAUAUUUAUCUGAAUCGUAUUUAAAAAGGAUGGACUCAAUUGCAGCAUGUAAUAUUACCAGCGAAAUGCACAUGUUUUUAUGCUAUGGUCAAUUAUGCACAUUGACCAUAGAACAUGGACGAAAAUCAAACGAUUUUCGUUUGGUUUUUCUGUUUAUUUCUGCUUUAAGCGUUUGCCUUUACGUUACGGCUCAAACUUUUAUUUCUGACCACCAGAUGUCGUUCCAUAACAUUUCUCAAUGCAUAAAUUUUAAUCGCAGAAAUAUUUCCCAGUGAGAAAUAUCCCAGUAAUUACACCAUGAGAAAUAUCCGUGUGCGUAAAGAGGGAGAUAUGUGAAAAUACCUAAAAUAUAACUGUUUGAUAUUUUAUUUAUUUCUGAGUGUACACACCAAAAAAUUUAGAAAAUUAUACAAGCCAGAAACGCUUAAACACCUAAUUUUUUUUCGAUGUAAAUUGAAUAGGAUCUAAUUUUACACAUUUUUACACCUAAAUCUCACACCCGUAACAUAAGAUUAGGUCGACACAGCUGAAACUAGAUACAAAUCCUAAAUUUACGUCUUGCAUGAUGUGAAAUUAUGUUCUUAAAACUUAAUAACGGGGUAAAAAAAAUAAGUGUGUGAGAUUCGACUCGGAUUUGUUUUGUUUUGAAACGGGAAUUAUAGAGACUUAUAGAUUCGUUGUAGUUCUGUAAACUCGGUUCGGGAAAAUUAAUGACUACGGUUCAACCAAAAUUCUGGAAGUGUCUUUCAGAUUUUUAUUUAUUCGUUAUUGGAUCUCGGAAUUCAAAACACUACGAACGAUGGAACUGCUGCUGAAAACAGUGUGGACUCUUGUUGUGUUCUGUGAGAAACUACCCAUAGUUCAUGUUCCAUUUCCUUCUGCAUAUACUGCCCGAUCAGAACAACAAGUUACACGUCAUGCUCAUCGUAAUGCAUUGAGGCAAAACAACGGGCAAGGUAGAUCCAGUGAUCCUGCCACGCUUACCAAAUGGCCUGUACAUGCUGCAACCAGUGAGUGGACAGUAGUCGAUGUUUCGUGCAUACUUGUUCAGUUGACCACCUUGCGCUCGGAAAGAAAGGCGUUGUCGAUCCGUUAAGCCGGGUGGUUAGUGCUCCGAUGAGGAGGUCGAAAAGAUCGUCACCAUCGUCUUAAAUCUCAGCCAGUACAGGAUCCCCGAUUGGUUCCUGAACAGACAGAAUGGCAUCAUCGAUGGCAAUUGUUCCAAGGUGACUUCUUCGAUGGUCGACUCCAAGCUACGUGAAGAUCUGGAGCGGCGAAAUCAAAUCCGUGCACAGCGUUGUCUUUUUCACUACUGGGACCUGCGAGAGCGCAGGCUACCGGCCGUCACGGUUACACCGUCGGUCAAAGAAGAUGUAAUCAAAGACAAAACGUGGACCAGUAACAGCCGAGGAGUACCGAGAAUCCAGAUGGAUGAUUGAUUAUGAGGUUUGGUGUUUCUGUAUCGUUUAUAUAAUUUAUAAAAUCAUAUUUGGAUAGGCAGAUCUUGUUUUACCAGCUGACAUAUUAGAUGCUUCAAACAAAUUUAAACGCCCUUGUGUAGGCACGAUAUUUUGUGUUCAAAGUAGGAAAGUCAAUGUCAAUUCAUCAUCCACAUUUUCCACAAAUACGUUGUAUACAUAAAGGCGUUUAAAGAUUCAUGAAUAGAAUGUGUAGAAUGGCCUUCCUGGAUCAAUGCCAAAAGGUUCAGUUUUGAUUUCGGUAUGCCGAACAAUUUUUCAUAUUUUAUUCAGUGUUUAGUGCAAAUUUCAGAACAAUUUUUCCCAUAUUUUUUCAAAUAAAUUAAAAAAAUCAAUAUUAGCCAAAUGUAAGGGUAAUGGAAAAGCACGUUUUCUCGAAAUGAGUAUUUGACACUCUUUUAUUUGCUUGUUUAUUCGUGUUAUACAAUUGGUCAAACAUCGUAUUUGUGUAUGUUUACAAUCGUGAUGAAUCCUGCACCAAAUAAUAUGCUGUUCAAACGCAUUUUAUCGCAGAUACAGGAUGAUAAAAAUAAUAUUGAUUACAAGCGUUCAUUGAAAUUACGAAGAUUAGACUAGAUAAAAUAAAGUUUUUUUAUAUAGAGAUGUCAAAAAUAACAAUUUACAAAAUUUUUACAAGCUAAGUUUAGCCUAAUAGGUGAAUUCCUUCAACUUGAUUUUUUUAAAUUUCAUAUGAGGCUCAUUUAAUUGUUCAUAAAACAUAGAACAAAAAAUCAGCUUCAAAGUCUUAUUUGUUUUAGUUUUUGUCAUAUGUUACUUGCUGCUUGGGCUACCUAGUAGCUCAGGCGUAAGGCCGAUGACAUAGUGAGAGCGACGCGAUGCGAAUUAGUGACCACGGCCAAUGCGAACUCUAGCGGCGAAACAAAUUGACAUCUGCUUCUCCGCGUUGAGUGUGUGAGGCUCAAGCGAUUCACAUACAUUUUCAUGAAAUGUGGUUCGCUGUAUUGGAUCGCAUUUGCCGGUACGCAUCGCAUCGCACUCACUAUGUCAUCGGCCUAAGUCAUAUUGAUGUGAUUUUUCUCAUUAUAUAUUUGAAGCCAAGAUGCUUUGCUGUUUCUGAUUUAGCCUUAAUUUAAUUUGUAGUGAUAGUGUUUCUUAAAAAGAUCAUUGUUCGCGAAACUUUCUAGAAGAUGAAUGUACAGGUUGUUAAAUUCAUGGAACGUUAUUAUUUAUUUUAUUUUAUUUGAGACCUACUCAAUUCUUACAAUAAACUUUCGUGACCUUUAUCUAGAUACGCCAUUAACAUAAUUUCAAACUUAUUUUUGUCAAUAAAG